GUUUUAUUAGAAAAUUAUGAUAACUAAAUAUCGAGAUUUAUUUUUUAUUUAUAAUAUUAUACAAUUUAAAAUGUAUCGGUAUUCAGAUGAUUAUCAAUAUAAUUUAAUUAAAAAUAUCAACAUUUUAGAAAAACUUAAUUAUUCAACCCUAAUUCUGUACUUUGUAUACAGUGUGAAGAAAAAACGUAAAGUUUGCGUACUGAUAGGGAGCAUUGAAACAAGUCGAAAAUAUCAAUGAACCUAUAUCCAUGCAAUGAAUAUACGGUCUAAAUGGCACUUUUUUUCGAGGUAGAAAGCUAGCUAAUCACAAAAUCGAGCACGCGAAGCGCCAUUGCCACGCAUUAUUUCACUCUCGAUUAAGAUUGGCUAGCUUUAAAGGGUCCUAAUUCGAAAAUUGCACCAUUUAAACCAUAUGUCCGACUUGUUUCGAUGCACCCUAUCAGUACACAAAACUUUCGGGGAAGGUUUUUCUUUACUCUGUAUAUACGAAUUUUUGAUCGUUUCGAAAUUUGAACAUCGGUUAGAUCUAAUAAAAUACAUUCAACUUAUAUUUUUUUAUUUAGACUAUAGCCUAUAUGAUGUUCUGUGCAUACUCAUGAAUUUCAUCAUGAAUUGUAUCCUGUAUUAUAAUACAAUAUUCC
rnacentral:lncRNA from 1 species